CUUGCAUUGGUACUCACAUCUGUAAAUAUAUAAAUGUGUUUUAACUAGAUAUAUUCCAAUACUGUAAAUUUUUCGAGAUAGUAAAGAAAAUUAAAACUGCAUGACAUUUAGGGAAUCCAUUAAAUCUAACACAACCUCUGAUUCAUAUCCGACUCACCCGUCACUCGAGCUGAGCAUAGACUUAAAAACAGAGGACCACGUUCCGCCGAGAGCUUCUCCACGUGAACCAAGGCCUCCAAUCCGCCGUAGACAGAGUUCCAGGUCGGAUAGCCCUCGCCGAAGCUGCUCAGGAAGAAGUCCUUCUCAGUCUUCGAGGUG